UUUUUUAUAGCGUGCUGAUCGAUAUCUCUGUAAAAUAAUCAUUUUUUUUUAACUAGCGUGGCAGUGAAAUCUUUGCUUUGUAGCUAAAGUCAACAGUGACAGAGUUUGAGCUCAAAUAAAUGCUGUGAUGUCUGGAGCCCUUUGCAGAAGGCAGAAGGCAAGCUUCUACAAUGGGCUUCAGUGGGGCUUGCCAACAAGCACCGGCUAUUUUGCACAGGGCUCUGCUGACUGAAGUGAUCCCCACGGCCCGAGCGGAGGAGAGGAGGGAGAGGAAGCCUCGGAGGGAAGAGGGAUAGCUCUGGAGGAGCCUCGCUGACGCACUCACGCUCACACAAACUCAAACACAAUGUCCCCCUCAGUCCUGAGCUGUGACCGGCCCGUGGCAUUGCCCAGAAAUUCAUGGAUGUUCCUGUGAGGGCACACAUCCAGGCAGACCCACUUUCACCUCCCUGCAUCAUUUGAGCUGAAAGCUCCUUCCUGUCGAUGCACUUGGCUAUAUCUGCGUCUGACCUGUCUGCCAUAUGUAAUAUCAAAGCCUCUGUCAGCACGGAGCUGAAUGGGAACAAAAGAGAUGCCUCUAUUAAUGAUUAACUGUUCUAAAAGCCCCGGCUUUUGUAUUCCCAUGGUGCCCAGGCUAUCUGGCCACCAUGUGACAUGCUCACAGCAUUUUUUGAGCAGAUUGGGGGAAAGCUAGUGAGCAAACACAGGUGCUUUGGAGCAGCGGUGCCGACGCUGUCAGGGACAACCACAAACAAGAGCAGCUAUGCCUGGCUAAAUGAAUCCCCACCCCUCCCAGCACCAUCACCACCUCCUCAACCCCCCGCUCUGUCACCAGCUAACUUGUUUGCUAGCUCACUAUAGCUUUCUCCUUCUGCCUGGUCGCCGCCCCCUCCACCCGCCCCUCUUCCUUGCACAAAUGCAAUGUCCGCUGCAGCCAGGCUCCAGAACUUCUCACACUCUCCAAAGAAACAAACAAAUAAAAGUGAGGACGGCCGACCACUUCUUUGAGGUGAUGGCAUUUGCUUCGGUCAUGACUAGUGGGAGAGCAAACAAAUUAAUGGUGUCCGUGUUUUCACUUUCUAAACCAAACUAAAUGUCUUUUAGUUCAAGUGGGGCAAUACGACUGACCCCGGUGUCAAAUGCUGCGUAAUGGUUGCACACUCUUGCACUUGAAAUGCUGAGAAGAGGCCAUAAGAAAUUAACCAGAACUUGAGUAUUGCUAUAUAGAAGUAGAAAAAUAACAAAGUAAACUUGUAAAAAUCAAAAUAAUCUAUUGAAAAGGGAGAGUAUUUUAGCAGCAAGCUGUAACCAAAGAUGACUGAAGUGCUUAACCUUUUCAUCACGGUGACUUGGGGUGCUGUGUCUCUCAAGUUUGAUAAGACAAUCAGAUGAUAGGAUGGCGUUAUCUUAACAUGGCUUUUCCGGCUGGGAGACAAAUGAACAGCGAGUGAUAAAGGGAACAAAAGCUUUGCUCUUAUAGGCCGGUACCUCAGAGCAAAGGGAAAAUUAUCAGAGUGGAAAAUUCACAGAAGGUGCCCAUAUCUCAUUUUCAAUUUGGCUCUCAAGCUAAAUCACAGGAACAGCUUUUU